GUGCCUCUCCCUCUUACUCCCCUCCUGCUGCCACCACCACAUCUGCUACCUCCUCCGUGAACUACCCUCCACCAGCCCCCGAGUAAGUGGAUAAAAAUGAAGUAAAAGCUCCGAUCCAUAUAAAAAAAUGCAGGUACUGUCUAUGAUGCCCCAAUCAAAGAUCUGAGCUGUUCAAUCACAAUUACUGGCACAUCAAACACCUAUCAAAGGAAGAUACAAGAGCUUUCUCCUUUGUAAAGUACCCGAGUAUGGAGUGAGCGACUGGAGGAUGCCGGAAGCUAGGGAGCAUGACCUAGAUUGUGCCUGUGAUGUUUAUACAUAAGCGGUACCAUGAGGUGUUGGGCGUAUUUUUGUGAUUUUGAUACAAAUUUG